rnacentral:misc_RNA from 1 species
UAGGGAGACCUAAUCCAUUUAGAAAUCGAAAACAAUGAAAAUUGUCAAUAGAAACUAAAUUGGUCUAACCUAGGUCGUUCGAGAUUGGUAGACAUCUUUCAAAGUAUUAUUCGGCUUCGUUCAAAACCAUAUAUAAUAAAUGGAAAAAGACAGCACCUAAUUGUCAAAGUUAGACUGCUGGAUGAAGUUCCAGCCAGAACCUUGAAAACUGCAUAAGAGAACAAGAAAAAGCAGGCAGGCACAGACAUUUAGAUGGAUGUGGAAGCAAAAGAAAUUGU